rnacentral:rRNA from 1 species
CCCUUAGAUGUUCUGGGCCGCACACGCGGUACACUGAAGGAGGCAGCGUGUACUCCUGGAUCGAAAGAUUUGGGUAACCCGCGAAUCUCCUUCGUGCUAGGGAUUGAGGUUUGCAAUUAUCCUUCAUGAACGAGGAAUUCCCAGUAAGUGCAAGUCAUAAGCUUGCGCUGACUACGUCCCUGCCCUUUGUACACACCGCCCGUCGCUACUACCGAUUGAAUGAUUUAGUGAGGACUUCGGACUGGGACCGAUGCGGCUUUCGGGCUGCGUCGGUAUUCUGGAAAGAUGUCCAAACUGUAUCAUUUAGAGGAAGUAAAAGUCGUAACA